rnacentral:rRNA from 1 species
GAUGAACGCUGGCGGCGUGCCUAAUACAUGCAAGUCGAGCGAACGGACGAGAAGCUUGCUUCUCUGAUGUUAGCGGCGGACGGGUGAGUAACACGUGGAUAACCUACCUAUAAGACUGGGAUAACUUCGGGAAACCGUAGCUAAUACCGGAUAAUAUUUUGAACCGCAUGGUUCAAAAGUUAAAGACGGUCUUGCUGUCACUUAUAGAUGGAUCCGCGCUGCAUUAGCUAGUUGGUAAGGUAACGGCUUACCAAGGCAACGAUGCAUAGCCGACCUGAGAGGGUGAUCGGCCACACUGGAACUGAGACACGGUCCAGACUCCUACGGGAGGCAGCAGUAGGGAAUCUUCCGCAAUGGGCGAAAGCCUGACGGAGCAACGCCGCGUGAGUGAAGAAGGUCUUCGGAUCGUAAAACUCUGUUAUUAGGGAAGAACAGAUGUGUAAGUAACUGUGCACAUCUUGACGGUACCUAAUCAGAAAGCCACGGCUAACUACGUG